rnacentral:lncRNA from 1 species
AUGGCUCAUAUGCGUAGAGCAAACGGUGAUGGGUGGAGGGCAGUGGAAGGGGCGUGGUGGGAAGUCCAGAGAGAAGUCCAGAAAACAGAGGGUGGAGAAGCGCAAAAGCCAAACUUACUGACUUCACAGUUUUACCUGGGCCAGCCCUGCCCUGGCCUAAGCCGGGAGGCGGGGGUGAGGGGGGAACUGGUUCGCUUUCAGGGCCUCCUCAUCGCGUCAGGAAGCCACGCCCUGUUUGGGACAUGGGACCACACUACACAGCUUGUGGGCUCAGGUGGAGCUGGGAACGGAGCUGCGGCCCACACCGGGCAGCCUGAGUCCCAGAGGGCGGGACAGCAGGGCGGGGUCUGUGGCACCUGCCGAGCUCCCGACCCCGCGCCAUUUGAGAACCCAGAUUUCCUCUGGCAUCCUCGUGGAGCAUCUAGUUGCCCAGCUUGCUGCAGUGUGGAGAGCCCGGAGCUGCGGCUCGGCUGGAAAGCCGGCUCGGGUUAGGAUCUCCAGCAGCGUCUUCGCAGCGGUGGUUUCUGAACAGAGAUGGGGUUUUGCCAUGUUGCCCAGGCUGGUCUCAGACUCCAGAGCUCAAGCGAUUUGCCCACCUCAGCCUUCCAAAGUGCUGGGAUUAAAGGCGCGAGCCACUGCGCCUGGCCUCAUGCUGCAUUCAUAAAGAGACUUUUACCACAUGGAGGCUGGUUGAAGGUUGCAACAGAGGUUUGGAAGGUAGGAGUAAAUGUUUACGUUAAACAUAGACUUAUGUGGCUUAGAUUCUUUUCCCAACAUCCAUCUUCCUAUCAAAAUAAAAUAAAACUUCUUCCCUAGCAAAUAGAAAGUUGAUGAAAAUCAAAAGUAACCAUAUAGUUCAUUCACGGUAUUAUUUAUCUACACUGAAUAUUAUUCUAAGCCUAUCAACAGAAUGCUAUUGGGGAAUAUACAAGGGUUAUAGGUUAUCUCCUAUCCUUAAUGUUGCUGUUUCUUAUGCAAUAACACACAUGUGCGCACACAUAUACACACACACACUCACAUGUUCACACUCACACACAAAUGAUUUGGA